UUGAAAUCUACCACUAGUGAGUCGUGUGAACAGCUGUACAGCAGGGGAGAUCAUUUGUGUUUGACCACGUGCUUUGUACACACCCAACACACCGGAACAUAUCGAGUAAGUGUGACUGCAUCUCAAAACAUUGGGUUGUAAUGAUUAUUUGUUCUGCACUAAGAAGUAUUGUGGCUUGGAAAUAAUGUAUUUUUAUUUCUGUUUUCCUAUUAAGCAAGCCACUGCUGUUGUCUAUUGUGGCGUAAUUGUAAUCUGUUAAAUGAUUUUCUUUGAUCUCUUAGAUCCCUUUUCGACCUCUUUUAAAAUUCAGUUAACAUCUCAGUCUUUCAUCUUAAUGCUGAACAAUUUUUCAUUGUUCAGUCGGGAAUAAAGCCCACCUAAAAAUUA